rnacentral:lncRNA from 1 species
GAACGAUGGAGAAUCCCUUGAAGCCUUGGGAUACUUAGGUUUGUCACUUAAAUCCUCACCUGCUAAUAAGGUGGGGCACUUAAAAAAAAAAAAAAAAAAAAUCACAUCUUAGGACGCAGCGCCUUGUGGGAAUUGUAGUUCUCGACGUCACGGGCCGACAGCGCAGCAUUGUGGGACCAGAUCCCCGCGGUGACUGCGCUCGGGCGAGCAGGCCGCGGCCCCGCUAUUCGCCGGUCCAGAGGAGAGUGCCACUGUCGCUGCGGCGUGGAACCUGUGAGGCACAGUGGCGGCCCCGGGUUCGGCGCGCAGUGACCCGAUUCCGCGCGACCGGAACAUCGCCGGACAGGUGCCAUCACAGGCUUGUGGUCACGGAUGCUGUAGACCAGUGUGCAGAAGGGGACCAUCUGAGCUUGAAAGGGAUGGACCACUGUCAGGCUGAAAGCUGAACCUUCACAGUUCCAUACACUCUCCUGGCAGCUGCAGAAAUGAGCGUAUCUCAGGUAAGAUCAGUUUUUAAUAAGCAGUUUAUUUUACAGUAGAUUAUAAAGGAUGCUAGAUCUGUACAUCCACAUGGAAAAACAGAAGCAAAUGAAUCAGAUACCUUCAUAGAAGGUAUAGAAAUAUACAGGAAAAGUGGAGUGAAAGUAACAUGUGGAUAGAUGCUAUUACAAAUUUACUACAUUGAGCUCCAAAUUUCUUUCUGAGGUAUUUGAUAGCUAUUGAAGGGUGUUGGAAAGACAACAUUUAAAGAUUUACAUUGAUGAGAAAGCUAAAUCAAAUGACUUGCUUUCUCAUGGAAUGUAAAAGUGAAGAUAGAUAUAUUUGCUGUUCUUUAAGAGUAUGACGUGCUAAACUAAUAUAAAA